UACGAGUGCCCCGAGCGUUAUCCGGAAUCAUUGGGCGUAAAGGGUGUGUAGGUGGCCAACUAAGUCAGACGUGAAAUCCCUCAGCUUAACUGGGGAACUGCGUCUGAUACUGGAUGGCUUGAGUUUGGGAGAGGGAUGCGGAAUUCCAGGUGUAGCGGUGAAAUGCGUAGAUAUCUGGAGGAACACCGGUGGCGAAGGCGGCAUCCUGGACCAACACUGACACUGAGGAGCGAAGGCCAGGGGAGCAAACGGG
rnacentral:rRNA from 1 species